CAUUAUCUAGGUUGCACACUGCCUUGAGGCUCAGGCUGGGCACCAUCCCCUAGGAGAUCUUCCCCGAGUGUGCUCCCACCCCUAUGUGUAGCCCAUUGCAAAGGAUGGAGAGGAUGAGAGUGGGGGAAAAGAGGAAGAAAGAAGAGUCCACAGGAGAGUAAAGAAGGGUAAGAAAAGAAGGAAAAUUGCAGAGUAAAUUAGAAGUUGGAAAAUUAGAAUGGAGAAAAAGAAAAGAGAGGAAAUGUGAGACAUAGCUGGUGUGGUCUUGGAGGCUGCCCUGGGCUUAUGCAGGUUGAAAAGUGACUGCUCUCUGAGCAAGAAAUCCCUUUUACUCUGCAUCAGACCCUAUGGCAGUGCUUGUCUUUGAAGACUGCUUGGGACAGUCACCUCUGCAUAGAUACUCCGCGUCAGCAGAGCCUGGAACCCUCUCGGCUCUGUUAAUAUUUCUUGACUGGAUGGACAAAGUGUCAUUGAUGGAUCAGAGAGAGGAAGACAUCAGAUCUAUUUAGGGAGAGGCAGAGAUGGAAGGAUGUGGAAGGCUUAGGAGGGAACAUUGUAGGUGACAUGUGAAAGAUUUGUAGGAGUCUGCCAGUGCACAUGGGGCAUUUGAGGUGGAAGAGAGGAUGUAAUUGUAAUAAAUGUUGACAUUUUUGACACUCCAUGAUACAGGUACUCUGUAAGGCACUUAAUAGGAAUUUGGUCAUUACAUCCUUUCAGCAAACCAGGGAGGAGUAUUUAAUUAGGAUUAUCAUUUUACAGAUUAGGGAACAGGGGCAGGGAGAGAUUCCCCACUGUGCUUCUGAUCACACAGCUAGAAAGUGGCAGGGGAGGCUUCUCAGAGCACCCACUCUACUCAGUGUCCCCUUUCUGCCAUUUGGCAAUCUAGGUGCAGCAGUGGCCCAAAGUGUGGUAGUGAAGGGGAAGUUGAGUGGAGAGUGAUUGAAGAAAUCAGACCACGAAUCCCACAUUCCUGUUUAUUUAGGCCAGUACUGUUUCUACUCCACCAGGCUGCCUGCAGCAAGAAAACAAUAUUUAAAAAUCAAUCCAAGGCCCAAGCCAAUAAUGAUUAUACAAAGCAGUGUGAUUGAUAUUAUUUACUCCAGCUAGAUUAAAAUGUUCCCUAGGAAAAAAAAUCUAUAAAGACAACAUGAGCCAGUAUAUAAAGCUAUGUGGAAACUUCCAGAUAAUAAACUGGGUCCAUAAAUUAUUUCUGCCCCUAUGGAGAGGAUAAAUCUCUCUCUCAUCAAUUUAGGAAAGCUUAGAAAACCAUGGAAUCAUAAGAGUCAUCAUAUCAGAUUCAAUUCACCUAUUGCCAGCUUUUAAUGCCCCCUCCCAGCACCAUUUCUAGGUGGUUUCCUUCUAGAGACCAUUCAACAAAAUUUGAAUUGAAAGACCUUCAAGGGAAUAUGUGGGAAAGAGAAGCAAAACUAUUCUUUAUUACACUGAUAAAACUCCUGAUGUAAAAAGAAAACAUGAUGCAACAUGAUCUCAGGCACCAGAUUCCUAUCUGGGGUUACAAUUAUGGAGUUUGCUAGUGAUAUUCUGUAAUCCUUAUAACUAUAUAACUUGCAACAAUGCUCCCUAUAUCUGUCCUGGUUCACCCCCACUGCCAAUCCACCUACCCAAGCCGUUUCCACUGAGCCAUGAUUUCAUUGGUUUCCAGGCCUUAGAAUGGGUAUCUCAUCCUCCUUCCUGCAGAGGUGGAUGUGGCUGCAUUUGCUGAUGCAGCACUAACUCUCCUUUUAUUCCCUCGGGUAAGGAAAGAAAAGAACACCAUCCAUGAGGACAGAUGGUGCCCAUCUGGGAUCUAAGCCUGACCUUCCCCUGACCAACUGUGCACCUUUAGAUAAGUUAAAUCUUCUCUGAGGCUAGUUUUCCCAUCAACAUAAAGAGGACAACUCUUUUGUCUGUCCCAGGAGUUUAUUAUUAAAAUUAAACCAGGUCUCUCAUUUUUGUACCAAAAUAUGGUAUAUGUGCAAUUAAUAUUAAUUAUCUUAAUUACUGUAAGAUAUGUAUGUCUAUAUAUAUCUAACACACUCUGUAUUCUGUAUUGUUUUAACAAGUAAACGGUAGGAAAGGAUAUGGUAAAGUUUUGUGCAAAUCUGGGUUCUGUUUUCAGGUUUUAUUCCAAGUAUUCAUUACAGCUUGGUUCUGGAAUGUUCUCCAAAGGUUCAUGUGUUGAAGGCUUGAUUCCCGCUGUUCAGUCGUGGGGCUGUUUGGAAGUAAUUGGAUCCUGAGGGCUCUGAUCUCAAAAAUGGAUGAAAACAUUGAUGGGUUUAUAGUUGUGGCAUUAAUGGGAGGUGGUAGAAACUGGAGGAGGUGGAUUUAGUUGGGAAUGUGCCUUUAUGGCCUUGUCCCCAGCCCCUGCCCCUCUCUGUUUCCUGACCUUCAUGAAAUGAGUAGCUUUGCUCUGCCACACCCCUUCACAAACUCACAGUGAUGGGCCAAACGGCUAUAGUCUGAAACCACCUCUGAAACCUUGAAUCAAACUAAUUAUUUCCUUCUUUAAGUUUUUUUUUUCCAAUAUUUUGUCACAGCAAGGGAAAUAUGAAUAACAGUACAUAAAGGGAAGAAAAUUCUGAUAUUGGGAGGAACUUUGUUAUCCAUCAAUAAGGCAAAAGGGAUGAUACUAUUUGCUAAUAACUGCAACAGUUAUACCCCCAAACCACUCAAUUGUAUUGCACAAUGAAAUGCAAUUAACUCCAAAGUAGGAAAUAUCCUAAAGAUCUCACAAAAGUCAAGGGACCACUGCUCUUCUGAAAAGGAAUGGGUGACUACAAAAUGAGAAUAUGCCCUUCUGGCCCCUUCCAGCUGUCUUUGCUGUGAGGACAGCCUGGGUGGUGCCAGGUAGAAACCAUUCCAGAGAAGUCCAGGGUGGGUGGGUGGGAGGGGUGAGAGCACAGCAGAUGCCCAUGACCUGCUCCAAAGUUCCCCUCCUUUGUCCUCUCACUGGUGGGGCCAAUCCUGGUUGCCAGGUGGUUGGGGCAAUGUGCUACACUGGGAUGUUGAGGUCCCCAGAUUCAAAAGGGUCCACAUAGGAAUUCAUACAAGAACUUGUCUGACACUUGCUCCCAGUGAACCUAGAACAUUUGUGAAGUUUCUAGAAUAGGUCAGGGCCAGGUGAAAUCUGUGUGGCUAUCAGGGUAUUGAGGGUCCUCAAGUAGACAAUUGUUUCAGAAUAUACAUCUGAAUCGAGGUCUCUUGACCAUGCAGCUGGUUGGCUGCCUGAUGCCAAGUUUACAGUGAGGAUUGCUCAUUGAUAUAUGGAUGGAGACUGUUGUCUGUUUUUCUAUCUUGCAAUGUUUGUUUUAUUUCUCUUUCUGCACUCUGAGUUCUGCAUAUCUUAAAAGGCAAUUAGGGAGAAGAGAGACUGUCAAUAUGUGGAGCAUGUAGUCAGCAGACACCAGCUCUAAGAGGAGACCCAAGGGGCCAUGGGGGAGGCUUGGUCCUUGCAGGAUUCCUCAGAGGACAAAGGCAUAAGAUUGACACUUCAGUAAGAAAGAAAUACAUUGCACUUGGACAGACUAAGCUAAACCUCAGACGUCUAUCUUGAUUCCUCGACUCUCUCCAUUUUGAAUAUGGGGAAACCUAAAGCCUACAGAAGUAAAGGAACUUGCUGGAGUACCACGCAUGGGUUGGUGUAUCUAGUCACAGUUUAUCAUAUGCCUGCCAUUACCUGUUUUUCUGCAAUGAUCACAAUUGCAUAAGGUUGAUGAGCCCAUUUUAGAUAGAGAAUAACUGAGUGGCGUGAGGUGAAGAACAUAGCCCUGGAGUCAAAUGCAUUGAGCUCCCCACACCUCAGUUACUUCCCAUGUCUAAGAACAGUACCCAACCCCCUUAGUGGUCUUAGUACUUCACAGUAGGAUGAGAAGCACUCAGUACAUGUUGACUGUGGUCAUUGUGCAGGGUCCAGAGCUGACUCACUGUGCAUUUGGAAUCACACCCGUGCUGGCCAAUGGUUGGCUCUUGUCCUGAUGCCACACUAUCCCCAGACCCCCUGAAACUCCUAUGGGCCAAACAGGACCUCUUAUUUUCCAAUCCAUCUCUGUUAGUGAGCAGUUUAGAAAGUGAAGCUUUUAUCUGUUUUGUGCUUUCCUUCAUUUUUUCCCCUCUUUUUACAGGGAAGCCAGAGAAGCUGUGGAGGUAACAGUGGAAUAAGUCUAAGGAAGGCUUUUGAUGGGAUAUAUGAGGAGAAGUACGACUCGAGAAUACAGAAAAUCCCCUGUGGAUCCUUGGGACACCCUGACUGAAACCUCAAAGAGUGGCAUUACCUUUAGUAAUCCCACCAGUGUGUGGACUGGGUCCUCACCCUUCAAGCUCAGUACCCCAGAGUUGAUCCAGCUUAAAGAAGCUGACUCAUCCUACCAAGGCUUAUAGUAGACUGACCUGUAAAAUCAAAAAUAGUUACAUUUUGAAAAACAUAAUUGUCAGUUAUACUCUUAUUGUUUGUUUGUUUGGGUUUAUUUUGGUCCUGGGAAAGUUAACAAUUCCCAAUAAUCAGGUGG
rnacentral:lncRNA from 1 species